GGGGGAUAACUAUUGGAAACGAUAGCUAAUACCGCAUAACAGUAGAUGUUGCAUGACAUUUGCUUAAAAGGUGCAAUUGCAUCACUACCAGAUGGACCUGCGUUGUAUUAGCUAGUUGGUGGGGUAACGGCUCACCAAGGCGACGAUACAUAGCCGACCUGAGAGGGUGAUCGGCCACACUGGGACUGAGACACGGCCCAG
rnacentral:rRNA from 1 species